CACGGUGGUGCAGUGGUUAGCCUCACUGGACCUGGGUGGUGUGAGAGGACGUGGGUUUGAUUAUCGCUCGGUCUGUGUGGAACUUGCAUGUUCUCCCCGUGUCUGUGUGGGUUUCCUCUGGUUUCCUCCUACAGUCCAAAGACAUGCUGUUCAGGUUGAUUGGGGACUCUGUCACGCAUAGUAUGUGAUGGUGUUUCACUGGUGUAUGGAUGAGUUACUUGAUGUAGGUAGUGUAUCUAGCAGUGUAAAUCACCUUCCGGGAAUAAAGUGUGGCCUGAGUACUACAUCGUAUUUGCUGGAAGUUGCUUUGAAGAGAAGUGUCUGCUAAAUUAAUAACUGUAAAUGUAAGUUAUUUGGUGAUACUAGCUGCCUGCAGUGAGUGACUGUGUGUGUUUUGUGGCCACCCUGCGAUGGGCUGGCGUCCGUCUAAGCUGUACCCCCGGCUUCCUGGAUAGGCUGCAGAUCACCGCGACCCUAAUCAGGACAAGAGGUUGCUGAAACUGCAGUGCAUGGUAGUGUAUGCAGUAUCACCAAGUGAAACAGCCCGAGUUAUUAAGAGGCGAAGAAAGAAGUGUUGUGCGUGUGAACACAGUGAGAAGUUCGCAGGGGUUCUUUCUGCACGCGGAUCCCGAGACUCUUCCAGGAAUGUAGAAGAGCUGCGCUGAUGACUCAUGGCUUGAAGCUCUCUCUCUCUCGCCCCCCCCCCCGCAUCCAUGUCUCUCUCUCUGCCACCCCACCCUCUCUCUCUCUCUCUCUACCCGCUGCUCGGACUUUGAGAGCCUCCGGUGCGGCUCUUUGACCAGCACGUCUCGCGCCUCCACGCCGGACCAUGAGGCUUCUCGCGUGGACCGUCACUGCACUUCUGCUCAUCUUCUCUCCAGGGCUGCUGUCGCUCUCGCUCCGCCGCCCCUCUCUGCCCCGGCACGUGCGGGACUUCGGUGUGGUCCGACCUGUCCGAGUGUCCAUCCGGGCUAAGCGGAGCCUCGCCGAGCACCAGGUCCUUCAGCCUUUUCCGCACUUUCCGCACAUGUCUCACAUCAACGGUAACAUGACUGAGCAUUUGUUUCAACUCGUCUGUGUGAACACGCGCUCUGUCUGUGUUUACUCACUGUUUACUUGACUCUCGUGCUCACAUCAUACUACUUUUGGGGUCUCCGGGUCGCUCAGUCACAUCUAGCUCAUCCUUCCUUGCUUUCUUUCAUCCAGUGAUUGUGUUUAGCAAAUGCUGUUUAACUGUCUAAAAACUGUGACAAGGACACGAACAUCCCAAAACCACACUUCAUUCAUAUCACAAGUGCUCUCUCAUAGUAUAAAAUUAAAUGUACUUUUAAGAUCUUUAGGGUUUCUGAACAAAAAAAAAAUCUUUCUUGUAUGCCUGCUGUUGAAGUAAACGUAACUAACUGUAGCACAUUUCUUUUUUCAUUUAUAACAAUUUCAGUAAUCUUUUGGACUUUAACAGAGGAGAAACUCAUGUGUUUCCUACUGCAUAGUCACUCUACAAGCACAUAUAGCAUGCAAAGUAACUUUUAACGACAAUUUGUUUUGACUAAAUCUUGAAUAGGAAUAUCCUGAAGAGGUCAAGUAUGCACUGACCAUUGAGGGGAAGAACUACACUCUCCACCUUGAAAAAAACAGGUAACAUCAUUAUUUGAUUGAACGAGAAAACAUUCUUUUCCAGUACCAUAUUCCAAAGUGUUGUGUUUCUGAAACAAAUGCAAAGAAAAAAAAAAUAAAUAAAGGCUGUGAAGCUAUUUAUUGUGUUAU
ensembl:lncRNA